CCUACGGGAGGCAGCAGUGAGGAAUAUUGGUCAAUGGCCGUAAGGCUGAACCAGCCAAGUCGCGUGAAGGAAGAAGGAUCUAUGGUUUGUAAACUUCUUUUAUCGGGGAAUAAAGGUAUCCACGUGUGGAUAUUUGCAUGUACCCUAUGAAUAAGCAUCGGCUUAAUCCGGUCCAGCAGCCGCGGUAAUACCGAGGAUUCGAGCGGUAUCCGGAUUUAUUGGGUUUAAAGGGUGGGUAGGUUGUUUUUUAAGUCAGCGGGUAAAGUUUGUGGCUCAAACAUAAAAUUGCCGUUGAAACUGGAAGACUUGAGUGUGUUUGAGGUAGGCGGAAUGCGUGGUGUAGCGGUGAAAUGCAUAGAUAUCACGCAGAACUCCGAUUGCGAAGGCAGCUUACUAAGCCAUAACUGACACUGAAGCACGAAAGCGUGGGGAUCAAACAGGAUUAGAUACCCUUGUAGUC
rnacentral:rRNA from 1 species